rnacentral:lncRNA from 1 species
UAUUUUUCAAAUUAGAAAUAUUUGAAAAAAAAAAGAAGAAAAGAAGAUAUUAGAAUUUAUGUGGGUGAGACUUAAGUCUCGCCACAUAUAAUUCUAGUAUCUUUCUUUUUUUCUUUUUUUUCUAGUUUUUAUACUAUGAGGAAGUAGCAAGUCCCGCUUUCGCCAAUUUAGAAAAUUUGGAAAAAAAAGAAGAGAAAAAGAUAUUUGGAACUCAUGUGGUCGAGACUUACGUAAGUCUCGCCAAAUGUGAUUCAAGCAUCUUUCUUCUCUUCUUUUUUUUAGUAUUUUUAAUAUUUUCGUCGUAAUAUCGUCGUUAGUUUACGACUCUUUUACGACGAUUCUUGCUUACGUGGAAUUAGCGUGCCCCGCUUUUUUAAUUUCGUCGUAAAAUCCUCGUGCCCUUACGAGGUGUUUACGACGAAAUCAUCCUACGUGGAAUUAAAGAGUGCCUCC